GUCGAGCGAACAGACGAGGAGCUUGCUCCUCUGACGUUAGCGGCGGACGGGUGAGUAACACGUGGAUAACCUACCUAUAAGACUGGGAUAACUUCGGGAAACCGGAGCUAAUACCGGAUAAUAUAUUGAACCGCAUGGUUCAAUAGUGAAAGACGGUUUUGCUGUCACUUAUAGAUGGAUCCGCGCCGCAUUAGCUAGUUGGUAAGGUAACGGCUUACCAAGGCAACGAUGCGUAGCCGACCUGAGAGGGUGAUCGGCCACACUGGAACUGAGACACGGUCCAGACUCCUACGGGAGGCAGCAGUAGGGAAUCUUCCGCAAUGGGCGAAAGCCUGACGGAGCAACGCCGCGUGAGUGAUGAAGGUCUUCGGAUCGUAAAACUCUGUUAUUAGGGAAGAACAAAUGUGUAAGUAACUAUGCACGUCUUGACGGUACCUAAUCAGAAAGCCACGGCUAACUACGUGCCAGCAGCCGCGGUAAUACGUAGGUGGCAAGCGUUAUCCGGAAUUAUUGGGCGUAAAGCGCGCGUAGGCGGUUUUUUAAGUCUGAUGUGAAAGCCCACGGCUCAACCGUGGAGGGUCAUUGGAAACUGGAAAACUUGAGUGCAGAA
rnacentral:rRNA from 1 species